UAAAUUUGUGUGUGUGAAAAAGAGAGUCUCCCUUGUUUGGAGAGAUAAAAUCCGGUCUCACAUUUUGCAAUCUCUGCAUUUUAUGAAUAAAAGCAGUGGAGAAAAUGGGCACUUUUUGGCUCUUCUGGUAAUAUCCUCACACUUUCGUGCCCUUUGCCCCAAGAAGCAUCUUCUUUGCAGUAACUGUCUUCACCUCACUAACAAGCAU
rnacentral:lncRNA from 1 species